rnacentral:rRNA from 1 species
CGUAUCCAACCUUCCGUUUACUCAGGGAUAGCCUUUCGAAAGAAAGAUUAAUACCUGAUAGUAUGGUGAGAUUGCAUGAUAGCACCAUUAAAGAUUUAUUGGUAAACGAUGGGGAUGCGUUCCAUUAGGUAGUAGGCGGGGUAACGGCCCACCUAGCCGACGAUGGAUAGGGGUUCUGAGAGGAAGGUCCCCCACAUUGGAACUGAGACACGGUCCAAACUCCUACGGGAGGCAGCAGUGAGGAAUAUUGGUCAAUGGGCGAGAGCCUGAACCAGCCAAGUAGCGUGAAGGAUGAAGGUCCUACGGAUUGUAAACUUCUUUUAUACGGGAAUAAAGUAUCCUACGUGUAGGAUUUUGUAUGUACCGUAUGAAUAAGCAUCGGCUAACUCCGUGCCAGCAGCCGCGGUAAUACGGAGGAUGCGAGCGUUAUCCGGAUUUAUUGGGUUUAAAGGGAGCGCAGACGGGAGAUUAAGUCAGUUGUGAAAGUUUGCGGCUCAACCGUAAAAUUGCAGUUGAUACUGGUUUCCUUGAGUGCAGUUGAGGCAGGCGGAAUUCGUGGUGUAGCGGUGAAAUGCUUAGAUAUCACGAAGAACCCCGAUUGCGAAGGCAGCUUGCUAAACUGUA